rnacentral:rRNA from 1 species
UACGGAGGGGGCUAGCGUUGUUCGGAAUUAUUGGGCGUAAAGGGCGCGUAGGCGGCUUUGCAAGUGGCGGGUGAAAUCCCUCGGCUUAACCGAGGAACUGCCUGCCAGACUGUGAGGCUUGAGACCGGGAGAGGUGAGUGGAAUUCCCAGUGUAGCGGUGAAAUGCGUAGAUAUUGGGAGGAACACCAGUGGCGAAGGCGGCUCACUGGACCGGAACUGACGCUGAGGCGCGAAAGCGUGGGGAGCAAACAGGG